GGUAGUAGUGAAGGACUAGUGUUGCCUUAGAGCCUUGACGGCCACCAAGGAUGGACCUCUCCCCGGUAGAAUGUGAACACAGGAUCCAUUCCAAAGAGAGCUACCACCACAGGCUCCACUCGAUCUAUGGAGCACAGCAAGGUCUUGGACCCACACGGUGGCUUCUGCAGAGAGCUGGGUAAAUCAGAUGCCCCAAAUCCAUCUUUCUGAUGAUUUUAAAUGAGUACAGCACACACCAGCCAUUAGGACUAAAAUCCACCAUGCUCACUGAAGCUGCUGCGUCAGUUCCCACCUGGAGAAGCAGAAGUCAGUGGAGGUUGGGCAGGAAAGCAGUGCUAACGUUCACGAACAAGAUCCAAAGAGAACCUGAUGCUGACCGCUAACGAAGUGGGAAAAUGCAGACCAAAACAAAAAAACAAAAAUGGAAAUAAAAU
rnacentral:lncRNA from 1 species